CCAAGGAUAUGAUGAGAUGCAAAAGGAAUGAUGGAAAGAUAGAUUGUAUUGUCAGUUCACCAAUCGAGCUGCAGUCCUUUUUUUCCGAAGCCAAACUCUACAAAUUAGAAUUGUAGUGUACAAAUUUUGUCUCUACCGAACUAAUAGAAGAUAGUUUAAUUUUGCAUGUCCUCAUUCACCUUUGAGACGGCCCACAAUCCAAAGAUUCAAAUUCUGACAAAACUUUCAGCAGACUUUGCAGGCUAUGUUUUUGUCAUUGUUUGUUCAUUGGAGACAUUCAAUCCAACCAAAGCUUAUUAAAGAAAUUGAUCAAAUUCACGAUAUUUUAUGAGCCACUAGGUCAUCUAUUAAACACACAAACCUAGAAAGGCCAGCAUUUGCCAAGAUGGAAAUUGAGAGUCGACCUUCGGAGAUUUCUAGAAUCGCAGGAAAAUCAGCAUCGACUAGACACGGGAAUGGUCUUAAGCAUGAGCAAGGCCUUGUUAAUGGGCUUAACGGCAUAAUAUAUGGUGGUUUUACUUUAAUGCAACUUCAAAAACUCUAGCAACAAGCACUAAUAUGCAAGUACAUGGAAGUUGGAUUUCCCAUUCCUUUUCAUCUUAUUAUGCCAAUUUGGAAGAGUGUUACUUCUCUUAGCAGCUCUCAACUUUACCCCAAUUUGUUGGGUUAUGGUGCCUUGAACACAACUAGCUUAGAUGAUGAGCCAGGAAGGUGCAGGAGAACAGAUGGUAAAAGAUGUAGAAAAGGUGCUGUUACAGGACACAAAUAUUGCGAAAGGCACAUGCACAGAAACCGGGACUCGGACGGCCGCAGCGUUCAAGAAAGCAUGACGAAACACUGACGAACGGAAUUUCGACAUUAUAGAAGCCAAUCUCUCUGUUUCUUUGCCGACUGAUGGCAAUAUUUGUAGCAAAAAAUGAACCAUGUUUUUGAGUUGUUUAUAAUCUGUUUAAAUUAUAAAUAAACAAAAAUGAGUGAGAAUAAGU